rnacentral:rRNA from 1 species
CCUACGGGAGACAGCAGUAGGGAAUAUUGCUCAAUGGGGGAAACCCUGAAGCAGCAACGCCGCGUGGAGGAUGAAGGUUUUCGGAUUGUAAACUCCUUUUGUUAUAGAAGAUAAUGACGGUAUCUAACGAAUAAGCACCGGCUAACUCCGUGCCAGCAGCCGCGGUAAUACUGAGGGUGCCAGCGUUACUCAGAAUCACUGUUCGUAAGGAGCGCGGAGGCGGGAUAGCAAGUCAGAUGUGAAAUCCUAUGGCUUAACCAUAGAACUGCAUUUGAAACUGUUAUUCUAGAGUAUGGGAGAGGUAGGUGGAAUUCUUGGUGUAGGGGUAAAAUCCGUAGAGAUCAAGAGGAAUACUCAUUGCGAAGGCGACCUGAUAGAACAUAACUGACGCUGAUGCGCGAAAGCGUGGGGAGCAAACAGGAUUAGAUACCCCUGUAGUC